CCUACGGGAGGCAGCAGUGAGGAAUAUUGGUCAAUGGACGAGAGUCUGAAUCAGCCAAGUAGCGUGAAGGAUGACUGCCCUAUGGGUUGUAAACUUCUUUUAUCAAGGAAUAAAACGAGCCACGUGUGCCUUUUUGCAUGUACUUUAUGAAUAAGGAUCGGCUAACUCCGUGCCAGCAGCCGCGGUAAUACGGAGGAUCCGAGCGUUAUCCGGAUUUUGUGGGUUUAAAGGGAGCGUAGAUGGGUUGUUAAGUCAGUUGUGAAAGUUUGCGGCUCAACCGUAAAAUUGCAGUUGAUACUGGCAGUCUUGAGUACAGUUGAGGUAAGCGGAAUGCGUGGUGUAGCGGUGAAAUGCUUAGAUAUCACGAAGAACCCCGAUUGCGAAGGCAGUUCACUGGACUGCAACUGACACUGAGGCUCGAAAGUGUGGGUAUCAAACAGGAUUAGAUACCCCGGUAGUC
rnacentral:rRNA from 1 species